rnacentral:rRNA from 1 species
ACGGAGGGUGCGAGCGUUGUUCGGAAUUACUGGGCGUAAAGCGCGUGUAGGCGGCCUUCUAAGUCUGGUGUGAAAGCCCGGGGCUCACCCCCGGAAGUGCAUUGGAUACUGGGAGGCUGGAGUACCGGAGAGGAGGGUGGAAUUCCUGGUGUAGCGGUGAAAUGCGUAGAUAUCGGGAGGAACAUCGGUGGCGAAGGCGACUUUCUGGACAGUUCCUGACGCUGAGGCGCGAAAGCUAGGGGAGCAAACAGGA